AUGCCUGAUGGUUCCCUGAAGUGCCAGGUUCUGGGGGCAGCAGGGAUGCAAGAUUAUGUGAAAAGACCAUCCCUAAGCAGCAGUUUGAGUCAAGGUUAUGGGUCUUCUCUGCUUUGUGCAGUGGUUUAUGGGGGACAUGAGCAGGGCUGUGUGUGUGGCAGGGUUGAGGGACAGAAUGGUGUCUGGAGGACAAUAAGAGGGUGUGGUGGGGAGUCUUUUGUCCUGGGGACAUUAUCCAAACUUUGGAGGUCUAUAAGGUUGUAUCUUAAGAGCAUAGUGAACAGGACUUUCCUGAAGUCCUGCAGCCUCUGUUUGCUGGCAGCCCCCAAAGGCAGGUCCAAGGUGGGCCUUUGGAAGGACUGUCCCCGACCUUCAAGCCUUUUUGCCUUCAGCAAAGAAAGACAGCUCCCCCCCCCACACACACACCCAGACAAUGGAGUCCCAGAGUCCUUUCCAUCUCUUCCACUCUCAAAGAUCUUAGAUGCCAGGCUAUGGCAGGACCAAAACUUUUAAGUUUUUUUUUUUUUAAGGGAGGGGGAAUCUUGUAAAACUUUUAUGCCA
rnacentral:lncRNA from 1 species